UACGUAGGGGGCUAGCGUUGUCCGGAAUCAUUGGGCGUAAAGCGCGUGUAGGCGGCCCGAUAAGUCCGCUGUGAAAGUCCAGGGCUCAACCCUGGGAUGCCGGUGGAUACUGUCGGGCUCGAGUCCGGAAGAGGAGUGUGGAAUUCCUGGUGUAGCGGUGAAAUGCGCAGAUAUCAGGAGGAACACCAAUGGCGAAGGCAGCACUCUGGGACGUGACUGACGCUGAGGCGCGAAAGCGUGGGGAGCGAACAGG
rnacentral:rRNA from 1 species